rfam:Lunatimonas lonarensis strain AK24 S14_contig_60, whole genome shotgun sequence.
UCCAUCGUGAGGUGGAAUCUGAAGGAAGCAGGCGGCAAAACUCUGCCCCGAGGAACACGAACCACAUCAGGCAUAUCCAAUGGGAUGAGACUGCCAAACAAGUCGAAGUCCAAAGAUUACACGGACAUUGGAGUGUAAAUGAGGCGGGGACAUGGAGUGAAAGUGAGUUAU